rnacentral:rRNA from 1 species
GUCUUCGAGUCGUUGAUUUCACACUGCCGAGAAAAGCCUCUAGAUAGAAAAUAGGUGCCCGUACCGCAAACCGACACAGGUAGUCAAGAUGAGAAUUCUAAGGUGAGCGAGCGAACUCUCGUUAAGGAACUCGGCAAAAUGACCCCGUAACUUCGGGAGAAGGGGUGCUCUUUAGGGUUAACGCCCAGAAGAGCCGCAGUGAAUAGGCCCAAGCGACUGUUUAUCAAAAACACAGGUCUCUGCUAAACCGUAAGGUGAUGUAUAGGGGCUGACGCCUGCCCGGUGCUGGAAGGUUAAGAGGAGUGGUUAGCUUCUGCGAAGCUACGAAUCGAAGCCCCAGUAAACGGCGGCCGUAACUAUAACGGUCCUAAGGUAGCGAAAUUCCUUGUCGGGUAAGUUCCGACCCGCACGAAAGGCGUAACGAUUUGGGCACUGUCUCAACGAGAGACUCGGUGAAAUCAUAGUACCUGUGAAGAUGCAGGUUACCCGCGACAGGACGGAAAGACCCCGUGGAGCUUUACUGUAGCCUGAUAUUGAAAUUCGGCACAGCUUGUACAGGAUAGGUAGGAGCCUUUGAAACGUGAGCGCUAGCUUACGUGGAGGCGCUGGUGGGAUACCUGUCUCUUAUACACAUCUCCGAGCCCACGAGACACUCGCUAAUCUCGUA